GACGAACGCUGGCGGCGUGCUUAACACAUGCAAGUCGAACGGAAAGGCCCUGCUUUGGUGGGGUGCUCGAGUGGCGAACGGGUGAGUAACACGUGAGUAACCUGCCCUUGACUUUGGGAUAACUUCAGGAAACUGGGGCUAAUACCGGAUAGGAGCUCCUGCUGCAUGGUGGGGGUUGGAAAGUUUCGGCGGUUGGGGAUGGACUCGCGGCUUAUCAGCUUGUUGGUGGGGUAGUGGCUUACCAAGGCUUUGACGGGUAGCCGGCCUGAGAGGGUGACCGGCCACAUUGGGACUGAGAUACGGCCCAGACUAGUACGGGAGGCAGCAGUGGGGAAUAGUGCACAAUGGGAGGAAGCCUGAUGCAGCAAAGCCGCGUGCGGGAUGACGGCCAUCGGGUUGUAAACCGCUUUCGCCUGUGACGAAGCGUGAGUGACGGUAAUGGGUAAAGAAGCACCGGCUAACUACGUG
rnacentral:rRNA from 1 species